AAACGUAGGAGGCAAGCGUUAUCCGGAUUUAUUGGGCGUAAAGCGUGUGCAGGCGGUUUGGUAAGUUGGAUGUGAAAGCUCCUGGCUUAACUGGGAGACGUCGUUCAGAACUGCCAGACUAGAGAAUGGGAGAGGGAGGUGGAAUUCUGGGUGUAGUGGUGAAAUGCGUAGAUAUCCAGAGGAACACCAGUGGCGAAAGCGGCCUCCUAGACCAUUUCUGACGCUAAGACACGAAAGCUAGGGUAGCAAACGGGAUUAGAGACCCCGGUAGUCCUAGCUGUAAACGAUGUAGACUUGGCGUUGGCGGAGUUAAAUCUGCCAGUGCCGAAGCUAACGCGUGAAGUCUACCGCCUGGGGACUACGAUCGCAAGAUUAAA
rnacentral:rRNA from 1 species